ensembl:lncRNA
AUGUGGAUAUGCAGAUCUGCAGCUGUGGCAGUGGUGAUUUACAGCAGUCCGACCUCGUCUGAAAAUGACAAGAUACGGAUUCAGUUCCUGGCAUUCCAACAGACAGCAGUACAAUACCAUGCUCUUAAUUUUGCUUUGAGAUGUAGAACUGUUUUUAGAGUAAUUUAUGCCAGAGACGGCCUAUUCCUUAAUGCUGGGGUUAUGGAAUUUCAUCAGAAAACAUACUCUUUGUCUUAGGACUUUUCUAACUGCAUACUCUAACUUCUGGUUUCCAAAUAGUGUGUUGGCUCUGUAGGUUUCCUAGCAGAAGACACAUCUGGAACAUGCAGCACAGUUUGGAAAGACUGAAUAAAGCUUGAGACAUUGAUUGCCAAGGCUGGCCACUGUAGGGACACCUGCAGAUGUCUGCUUUCAAUGUGAUUUUGACCUGGACCCUGGCUUGAGGUAAAGAAGCACUGCUGUCUGAGUCUUCUGCUGAGUGUUACCAUCAUGUUGGCAGCGUGACUGCAACCUGCCUGCAGGAAGCAAUGGCAGCUACAUGGAAUAUCCUUCAUUCUAUUAGCUGGCCUACUGUGACAGUAAGAAUUUUCAUACUGAUGAAAUAUGACCUUCUACCGACCAUCAGUUCUGGAUAUGGAGACAAUUUGGAAUGGAGAUACCAUUUACUCACGUAAGUAAGCCUGACAUAUUUUUCAUGUAUUUUUCUUAUCAAACAACAUUUCUCUAUCUGUGAGAGACGUGUGGAGGAAUAAUUCA